UGGGGAAUAUUGGACAAUGGGCGCAAGCCUGAUCCAGCCAUGCCGCGUGAGUGAUGACGGCCUUAGGGUUGUAAAGCUCUUUCGCUCGGGACGAUAAUGACGGUACCGAGAUAAGAAGCCCCGGCUAACUUCGUGCCAGCAGCCGCGGUAAUACGAAGGGGGCUAGCGUUGUUCGGAAUUACUGGGCGUAAAGCGCGUGUAGGCGGGUCUUUAAGUCAGGGGUGAAAUGCCAAGGCUCAACCUUGGAACUGCCUUUGAUACUGGAGAUCUUGAGUCCGGGAGAGGUGAGUGGAAUUGCGAGUGUAGAGGUGAAAUUCGUAGAUAUUCGCAAGAACACCAGUGGCGAAGGCGGCUCACUGGCCCGGAACUGACGCUGAGACGCGAAAGCGUGGGGAGCAAACAGGAUUAGAUACCCUGGUAGUCCACGCUGUAAACGAUGGAUGCUAGCCGUUGGGGAGCUUGCUCUUCAGUGGCGCAGCUAACGCUUUAAGC
rnacentral:rRNA from 1 species